GGAGGAGCUUCCUCUCUCAACUCUGGUUAGAGCUCACUGGGGCUGCAGUUCAGCAUUCAGACGAAAAAUGGCACCUUGAAACCUCAGACUGGAAACUGAAAUGAACAUUUGGAACAGCUUUGGCUAUUAUAAGAAGUAAUUCAGAAAGGACAUGUCAGUGGCUUGCACAUCUUCUCAGACUUUGUGAGAGAGCAUGCAAAUGACUCAGUGACCAAUUUCCUCCACUUCUGAGUUGACUAAAACCCACAUCACUGGGGCAAGGUCCACCUUCAAUCAAAUGGCAUCCCAAGCAAGGAGAGUCUUCAGAAUUUCCCCUUCCUGCCACAGAUGUAGCCGCGGGGGGCAGUAAUUUGCACUGGGACAAUGAAUGAGCAGCAUUAGUUGGUUAAGUUAUGCCUCUUGUGAGAUUCCGUGAAAGACAGGAAGGAGGGGUAUAAAAGUCCUGGCCAAAUGUCUGGGGCUGUUCCUUUUCAAAGCAAGUUUUGGGUGUACCCACAUCUUCCCCCCACCCAUAUGGUUAGACCUAGACUUUGACCAGCUGCCCUCCUUUCCGGGACAACAAGGGGAAAUGUUCACCCUUUGCUCUGGCCAUUGAAUGGGAAGUUUUUCACCCUCAUCAAGUCUGAUCUUCCCAUGGUGGUUUAGUCCACCUUUGCUGCUUUGUACAGGGCAUGGGGAGCUGGA